AACGUGAACGAAAAUGUAAAAUAAUGUGUAGCAAUUUUGUCAUUUGAUCAUAUAUCCACGUAGUUAUUAACAAAAAUAAAUACAGGACUGGCUUCAAUUUAAUCGGAGCUAAUCAGCGAACGCAAGACACGAAACGCGCGCAUCGAUUCGAGAUUCAGCGAGGGCGUGUAUCUAUAAAAUACAAAUUCUCGGCAGUUUGCCAGUACGUUUCGGCAAUUUAAAAAGCUUUCCCGGCCAAUUGAUCGGCCAAUUGCCACUUACGGGCAUAAAUACACAUAACAAACGGGCGUUUUCACGUUCGGACGCAUACGACUGCUCAACGAUUUGAAAACGCAAAUAGGAAUAACAGUGGGAUUAAAACAGUUUGUGGUCAAACACAGAGAGGCUUCCUGCAUGAAUGGUAGUAAUGGUGGAUCACUCGUGCGAAGAGCGCAUCAUACGUAUUGUAUAGAAUCCGUGAGAGUAGGAUUUAUUUCUAUGGACUCGACGAUGCGUUAUAACGGCCGGUGUGUUCUCUCUCCUCCUCGAACGGGAAAGGAAAGGGUGAUGUCUCUAAUGUCUACGAUGUGCUAGCCGCACAUCUAUAAAUCGCAUUCCAAUAACAAUACAUUCGGUCACACAAAUGUGUUUCCAGUAGACUUUUCGAUGUGCCUAUUACAAGAUGGGCACACACAAAAAGCCAAAGCACCUGACGAUAUGUUAACUGGCAAAAAAUCUAAACCCAUACGAGAAUCUAUCGUCACAUGUGGUUUUCGAUCUUCCACUGUACAAAACAAAGGGUGCAAUACGCAAGAAUUUAAUUGCGCAAAUAUCAUAUUAUUUUUUAUCCCAAAUCUUAUGUUGAGAAUAAAAAAUUAAGAAGCUAUUGAACGCUGAUGAAAUAUUACGUCAAAUUUUACAUAUUUUACACAAAAAAAAAAUAUAUAUAUUUUUUUUUAUAAAGUAGUGAAUUUAUAUAUAUUAUGUGUUUUGUAAAAAUAAAACUGCAUUUAAAUAACAAAAAAAACAAUUAAAUAAAAGCAUAAUUUACAUGGCGCUAAAUAUUGGUUAAAAAACAUCAGAAUUACAGAAUUUCUUAUAUUGUCCUUUCUAACUGCGCGUCCGACUCAUUCGUUUAGCGUGCCUCGAUGUUUGUCUCAACAUUAAUCUUGCCCCGGUCGGAGAUUCAUGACGGAGACACACAGGCACGUGCAUUCGGACGUACGAUUUGACGAACCAGGCCGUGGUCUACAGAGCUAAUCGAUAGUAAUGUCAAUAUUAAAACUGUGUAAUAGCGCGUUAGUACUGCGCCGAGGGUAAUCGCCGCGACUUGUCAGCUGUGUCCACACGGUGCUUUACAGAUUCCUAAUGUCCCGUUCGAAGAGAGCUACGGGCAAUUGAUUUAUUGACCUGCCGAGAUAUUGCCGCAUGACUUAUCGCAUCCGCAAUUUCGUCGCGAAACAUUAACGCGCACUAGUGUGUCCCCGACAUCCGUUUUUACGCCGUGUUAAGGAAAGGGAGCACAAAAGAAUUCUCACGUAUAUAAUCGACGUGUAAUUACAUCUCGAUCAGUAUAUACCUCCUCAGCCGUUUCUGCGCUUGCCUUUUCACUGCCGGAAUAACUUUAGUCCGCGUAUAAGCGGAUGUAAAAUAAAUCAGAAUUAAAACUAACGAAGAGUAAAAGGAAGUUAAGAGAACAUAUAUCCUUUCUUAAGUAAGUCGAUUAUCACCGUUAAUGAAUAAUCACAUUUAAUUAUUGUGAUAUUAAUUUUUGUUAUUACGUAUAUUAAUUCAAUUAUACAUUAAACGUCAAAUAAUAAUUGUGGAUUCUUGCAAUUUGUUAGGAAAGAUAAAAAGUGUAAACUCAACGAAAUGAAAAAUAGAAAGGUGUUCGGUUUCAAAUUCUCCUUUUUCUUUUUUAUUGAAGAUAAAUUUAUUUCGCAAAACAAUCGUACACUACGUGUAUACCGCUCUUCAAUUUUAGACGUUAAAUGAAGAUUAGAUUCAAUAUCGUUAUCCACUUUAAAGAGCGUCCGACUGCUUUUGCAAACAUUGCGUGGACAGUGAUACGUUUAUUACAACCCUGUAAUGAAACACCUUCGAUCCGAAAAUAUAUCCCCUAUCGAUCGCAUGCAUAUGCAUGCACGGCGCGAUCGUUGUGGGCGAGCGAGCGAGCGAGCGAGCGGGCGGACGGUUGAGCACCCUUAUCAAAUAUUCCUAGCGCGCAUGUCAGCUGAUCGGGGGUGGAAUAUCAAAGGCACCGAGGGCGGGGCUGUGAGGACUCGCAUGGCUUCGCCGUCGCGAGGAGCCUCUUUUACCGUUCUUCGCGAACAAUAACCUUAAACCUUAUCUUACUUAAACGCCAACUUGGCCCGAACUUCCGAAUGCAGAUAAAGUUCAUUCAAUGUUAAUGUUUCGCGUAAAUUAAGUGUCCUUUAUUAGGAAUAACAUUUAUUCAUGACCUCGUCCUCGACUACGAUUCGUUCUACGCUUCCACCUUAGCUAGUAUACCCUCAUCAGGUUUUGUCCUUUAUCCAAGCGGAUAUCGCAGUAGUGUGUAUUUAUUUUUAUUGGUUUAGAUAUUUUAUUCUUGCAUUGUUGUUACAUUUCGGGUGAGUAAGCAUGAUCGUCACUGUGUUUGGCACCUGUCUUGAAGCUUGCUCCUUUUUCUACGGUGCAUUGCAUCACAAUGCGACGAUAUCGCCACGGGUUUCCGCCCUGCGUCCAUACACAGGAGGAACAAAACGAUGGACGGGAUGAGAAGAAGGGAGAUCGGAACGUGGACCCUAUGCUAGCAUAAUGCGAUUAUGCAUAAAGAGUGAGAGAGGGAUGGAGAGAGAAUAGGGAGAAUUAAAUAUGACUUAAAAAGACAUUAAACUAAUUUUCGCGCGUACUUUUUAACUGUUGUUCAAAACUUUUCAAUUUGUUAUAAAUAUUGUACGUAAGAGUCAGGUUUCUCUGAUGCUGUAUCACCUAGAUAGAAUACAGAGUCAUAAUAAUAUCAUAAAGUCACCAUGCCUUUAUUUGUCAUUUGUAAAUAUAUAAAAGAGAUAUACUCUUAUGACAUCAUCAUAAUAUCAUCAAGUGAUCAAGUGAAGAAGUGACUUCUGCGUUCUACCUGAAAUUUCGAAUGUGUAAAAUUUUGAAGAUUCGAGCGAUCUUUUUUGGUAAUAUUUUUCUUGCUUAAAUUCCUGUUAAUGCUUAGCAAAGUUUGAGUUCGUAUCAAUUUGAAAUAUCAUAUUUUGUUAAUCCUCUAGAAGCCGCAUCAUCUCUCUACCAUUAAAACAAUAUUUUUAAUCGAUUAACUUAAAAAUAUCUUGUGAAUAAGGAAUCUAUCGACAUCUAUUUGAAUUUUUUUAACAGACUCUUUGGUAAUACAUUUCAAUGAUUAACACACACUUCUAUUGUUAAUUUUUAAGUACAAUUAAAUUAUACUUAAAAUCUCAAGAAUUUGCUGAUACAUUUAUAUAUUUAUAUAUUUACGUGUGGAAAAUGAACAUUUUAAUGUAUAUAACUCUGGCCGUUAGAAAAUUAAAUACUGUUAUUUUAUCGUUUAUUUCAAUAAGUGUUUUACUGUACAAAUUAAGUUUGACAAUAUCUAUGCUUUCUUACUCCAUUUGUCAAAACCUUAAUUAUUUUUGCGUACGUGUUAUCGUAAUGCAUUUUUAAUAAUUUAAUUAUAAUUGUAUUGUAAAGUUUGCAGAGGUGUAAUUAAAAAAUCCAAAAUGCUCCUUUACGAAUUUCUGUCAAAUUCAUAAGUUCGCAUUAACAUUUCGAUUAUCAUUUCAUGGCAAACAAAUUCAAUAGCAUUUGUUUAUUUUUAACAACCCUAUUAAUCUGUAAGUAUUCAUUUUCGAUCAUUAUACUUUUGACAAUAUGCGAUGCACUAACAUCAUUUCCCUUCAAUGUAAAUAAGAUUAAAUCUACCCAAGUAACCAUGAUUGAUAAGGUCAAGAUGAUAUUAACCUAACUAAAAUUUGACGAAACCUUCGUGAAGUUUUAGUUCAAGUUGACGUCAUGCUGACCCUAUCAAGUAACAAGUAUGUUACUCGAGUAUGCAAAGUGGAAGUAAUUUAUUAAUAACUCGUUAUACCUUUACGCGCAGCAACAAAUGCAGGGAAAGCUGCAAAGUAAAUUAACAAUCGCGACAUAGAGCCACAACAUAAGCUGCGGAUGCGUAUAAAACAAGAAAGAACGUCAAUUAGAAGCUACGAUAAAGCUCAAGUAGACUCAGGGGUUGCUUUUCCUACAAUUUUAUUUUAUAAUUUGUUAUCGGUCCGUUCGGAAGGCAUUUGCGAGGAGCUCGCGAUGCGUCAAUCAAUACCAUGACGAUAAUAAUGAGAAUCAGAACGUCCGCUUUAAAGCGUCCUGCCGCCGGGGAACGCGUCGGGGUGGCAUCGGCGGCGCGCGAAGGACGCGUGCAGCAAUACGCGUAGCUGCCGUCGGCUCUAUCGCGGAUCGCCGUAUCCGCGCUUUCUUUCUCUUUCACCCUAACAAGAUUGACCUCCCACGAGCCGCGUCCGUGUAUCGGGAGGGGUCUUUCGCCGGCGAUUAAUCCGCGCGGUGACUUUUCGUUUCCGUCGAGAGAAACAGAGAGAGAGAGAGAGAGAGAGAGAGAGAGAGAGAGAGAGAGAGAGAGACAAGGGGUCCAGCUGUCGACGGGGCACCGGCUGCGCGUACAAUAUCGCCGCGGCUUUUGGGGGAUCCAAGAUGACGGCUCUUCCGUCUCGCGCGUUAUGCGACGAGGGGUUACUGCCGUUACGACGGUGGCGAUGGCGUCAGCUUGCGCGUAGAAGAAACGGCUGACCCCAUAUCGCCGCGGACGGCGGCCGCCGGCGGCGACGACCGACCCAAGGAAAAAGUCGACCCUCGCAGAUUUAUUUCGAGUAACGAUUUGCUCGAGGAUUCAGCGGCGGUAAGGAGCCACCGGGCACGCAACGUCUCCUUCCGUCAUGAGGGGAGGCGAAAGUGGACGGAGCCUCUAAUUAAUAUUAUUCUUUCGUCACGACAACGCAGCCUGUGGCUCAUCAUCGAUUCUCCUUCGUUCUGUUCAUUCAUUAAUUUAAAAAAAAACCAACUGUUCAGUUUCAGCAAUUGUCCAUCGUUCCGUGUCGUUCAAUCUUAUAUUUUACUUAUAUUUUUAUAUAAUCUACAUUUUGGCCUUUAUCUAUGUUGUAGCCACGUGAUUCUUUAGACCUCUUUCUUUACCAUCUGCGACCUCUCUCGCCCGAGUUGAACCGCUUGCGUAUCUUCGACGUGGGAGAAAAAAAACUAUGACGGGAAAAGUACACUUUGAUAACAAUUUUUGAGAGAACGCGAAAUGAUAGCAAUUUGUUUGGGUAGUCGUUUUUUUUUUUCUUUUUCAAUCGGAUAGGUCAAGUAAUCUAUUAAACGUUGAUAUCGGAAACGCGCGAUAAUACAUCGCAAAUUACGGGACAGGAUACUUUGCAUCGGACUGAUGUGUUUGGAAUCAUCUAAUGCGGGAGACAAUUAAUCCGGGCGUCGCUGUUGUAAUCUCACAUUAUUUUAUUUUAAUUUACGAAUCUCUCGGGCUAGAUUUACAUAAAAUAUGAUUAUUCGGUAUAACAUUUUGCGCAUAUAAUACAUCUGUAAUACCAAGAAAAAUAUAUUGCACGUAUUUCUACAUCUUCAAUAUCUUUACAUAUACAAAGUGCGCGAACGUUGCCGUUCGCAAGGAGGUGUCAGGGGAAAAUGCGCAGGUUGCGGCAGAGAUCCUCGCUUGUCCGUUUCGCAAAUCGUGAUUUAUCGAAACGGCCAAAGCGAAUCCGGCCUAAUCCAUCACCACGACUUUUCUCUCCCCCGUGGAGAAAAAUCUUUUACACGGUCACUUCUACAGCCAUCCCGUUGUUCGCGACACGUGUCGGCACUUCUGACACUCUUCCGCGAUAAAUGCACGAGACACACACAUAAAAAAAAAAAAAAAAAAA